rnacentral:tRNA from 1 species
CUUAAAGAAGAAUAAUCUAUUUUUGAGUUAUGAGCCCAACAGCUUAUAAUAAUUUAGCUUACCUUUAA